UACGUAGGUGGCAAGCGUUGUUCGGAAUUAUUGGGCGCAAAGGGCGCGUAGGCGGUUUGUUAAGUCGGUCGUGAAAGCCCGGGGCUCAACCCCGGAGGGUCGACCGAUACUGGCAGACUAGAGUACAGAAGAGGUAACUGGAAUUCCCGGUGUAGCGGUGAAAUGCGUAGAUAUUCGCAAGAACACCAGUGGCGAAGGCGGCUAACUGGUCCGGUUCUGACGCUGAGGCGCGAAAGCGUGGGGAGCAAACAGG
rnacentral:rRNA from 1 species